UACGGAGGAGGCAAGCGUUAUCCGGAAUUAUUGGGCGUAAAGCGUCCGCAGGUGGCACUUCAAGUCUGUCGUCAAAGACUGGGGCUUAACCCCGGAAAGGCGGUGGAAACUGAAGCGCUAGAGUGCGGUAGGGGUAGAGGGAAUUCCCGGUGUAGCGGUGAAAUGCGUAGAUAUCUGCAGGAACACCCGUGGCGAAAGCGGCGCGCUGGACCACUACUGACGCUGAGGAACGAAAGCUAGGGGAGCAAACAGG
rnacentral:rRNA from 1 species